UACGUAGGGUGCAAGCGUUGUCCGGAAUUAUUGGGCGUAAAGGGCUCGUAGGCGGUCCAUCGCGUCGGGAGUGAAAAGCUGGGGCUUAACCCCAGUCCUGCUUCCGAUACGGGUGGACUAGAGGUAGGCAGGGGAGAACGGAAUUCCUGGUGUAGCGGUGAAAUGCGUAGAGAUGUGGAGGAACACCAGUGGCGAAGGCGGCUACCUGGACCAGCACUGACACUGAGGCACGAAAGCGUGGGGAGCAAACAGG
rnacentral:rRNA from 1 species